rnacentral:rRNA from 1 species
GGGGGCUAGCGUUAUCCGGAUUUACUGGGCGUAAAGGGUGCGUAGGCGGUCUUUCAAGUCAGGAGUGAAAGGCUACGGCUCAACCGUAGUAAGCUCUUGAAACUGGGAGACUUGAGUGCAGGAGAGGAGAGUGGAAUUCCUAGUGUAGCGGUGAAAUGCGUAGAUAUUAGGAGGAACACCAGUUGCGAAGGCGGCUCUCUGGCCUGUAACUGACGCUGAGGCACGAAAGCGUGGGGGGCAAACAGGAUUCGAUACCCUGGUAGGCCACGCUGGAAACGAUGAGUACUAGGUGUCGGGGGUUACCGCCUUCGGUGCCGCAGCUAACGCAUUAAGUACUCCGCCUGGGAAGUACGCUCGCAAGAGU